UUAAACCUCCAGAGACAAAAAGCUUCCCUAGAGGUACCAGACGACUGGAAAAAAAAAAAAAAAAAAUCAGCCUCCCAACUGGGAGAGUGAGACAGCACAUCCGCAUCUAAAACUUCCUCCGCGGGAGGUUGCUGAGGGAUGGACCCGACGCGAGAAUCCAACACCAAAAAGGACGUGACCGUCUUGGCCCCCGCGCAGGGAGGGUCUCCACCGUACGAGUUACACGGCCCUGUUCAUGCGCAGCGCCAGCCCUGCGAUAUAUCCUCGCCUGCUGCGGCAAACCCCGCGGUUUCUCCAGACGUACCCUGACUGCUGAUUUAUUCCCGCGAAAGAGAGCGAGCUGCGCUGCCACGGGGCUUUUAACAACUCCUUUGCUGUCUCUGAGUGCCGGGGAGCCUGAGCGGCAACGUAAAGCGCAGGGUGAAGAGUACAGUGGAGCCCACUGGAAAAAAAGCUGUAGUCAUUAAUAUGGAUUCCAAGGGAGGAGAACAGACAGCUAACGCUCUACUGAAUGAAAGAUAUAUGAACCAUAAAAUUGCCGGAGAAUCUCUAAUGUACACGUUCAAGUCAUCAGGCUUCAGUACUUUUUAAGUGGUGAACAUUCCAGACCUUCAGACAAAACCCACUACGUGGAAUAAAACCCCAAACCCAUUAAAUUAGCUGCGUUGCCCAUGCAACAGUUUUCCCUCACAUUGUACAUAUUAGGAAUAUCUGAAAAUAAUAAACUAUGUGCAGUAGCACAAAAUCUGACCAGGGCAGCUUGGAAGGGUUCCACAGCCGGCGUGAGAAUCGGGCACGGCACUCCGGAGAAAAGGUGGGGAACCAGAGCGACGCGACGGAUCAUCUGGCAAAGGUUUUGUUUGCCGCUUGCAGAGGCUCUAACGGUGGUGUGUGUGAGUGUGCGACGCAUGGCUGCG